AUAGGUAAUAUAAAAAUAUCUAAUACUUAUCUAUUUAAUUAAAUAAAUGAUGAUUAACAUCGACACACGGAAUCAUUUUUCACAAAAAAUUCACAGCCUACGCAAGAUAAGAUAAAACAGAUAUAUAAAACUAUCGACUUUGUUAGACAUAUCAUUCAAUAUAAUGAAGGUAACAGUGUUUGUGGCUUUGGUGCUCGCAGCGACUCACGCCCUUAAAGAUGCAUCGAGCUACCACGAUAAAGUAGGCAUUCCCUUAGCCACUCAAUUUAAAUUGGCUGAAGAAAGGGGUGAAAAUACUUUAAGUCAAAGGAUUGCGGGUGGAAAUGUAGUGGACAUCAGUCAAGUUCCUUACCAUGUGGCAGUCCUCAUGAAAGUCUUCUUCAUCUACUGGUCCUUCUGCGGAGGCAGUCUCAUCUCGCCCACCCGCGUUCUCACUGCUGCCCGCUGCUACGACGAAGACAGCUAUCAACACAUCGACUUUAUACAAACAGUGCAUGGAUCCAACCAGAUCUACACUGGCGGAGAUAGGCGGUUCACCACUGACAUUGCAAUCCAUCCAAGGUGGAAGGACCCUUAUAAUUGGGUUGGUGAAGCUGAUAUAGCUAUUAUUCGUAUUGAUGCUGUCACUCUUUCAAGUAAGUUCUCAAAUCAAUCAAUGUACAACUUCUCUCGCUUUCAGUUUAGCGUUUAUCCCCGUUGCAUCUUCAGCUACUGCUUCGAAGCUCAGAGUGCACUUUUCGCCUCCAUUUCAAUAAAUCAAUAGUCUUUAUUUAUUUCAUUGUAUUUUGUAAAUGUUUGGAGGAUUGAUUUGUCUUUUACAGAUGCCAUCAGUCAAUAGCGCUUUCUUUGGACGAUGUUUCAAAUGAUUUGAUUGGUCAAGUUGCGCUGGCUACAGGAUACGGUCUCCCUUAUGAAGAUAACCUUUGGGUAACGGAAACGAAACAAUUGAUAAAAAAGAAUUGGCGUAGGAUCGUAUUAUCCGUUGCCGUGCGGCUUCGGAUAUUCUACUUUUACCAGAGUGGCGCCCCACCUAGCCUGGAUUACUUCCGUUAAGUAAACGUGAGUUCCAGCUAAAUUCGCUUUGGACUUAAAAGAUUAUUUUACUGUUAAUGGUAAUAUGUAAUAUCAUGUUACUCAGUAUAAUAUAUGAAAAAAAUAAAACCUUGUUGCAACAACUUACUUUCAGUCUUCUUUUAUGUCAAUGUAACGCAUGAUUAAUACUUGUUUUGUCUGAGUAUAUUUCUAGAUACGAUUAGUUUACUUAUUUCUAGCCAUUGAGUGUUAUUUUGGAAUGACGAGUUAAAUGAUAUCCAAGCUUCUAACUCUA